rnacentral:misc_RNA from 1 species
GGUUGGAUCAUUAGUGAAUCAAUAUGGUGUAGCUUUUACCGGCUAUUAUCAUUUGUUUUAGUGUCAAAAACGCGCCUCGCGUAACCUUGCGCUUGGCUUUUGGCACGCUCUUUUUUUGUGAACCUGUUUCCUUUCUUUGGGAGUGUUGUGCUCAUGUUAGCUUUGUGUCUGUGGACCUUAGCUUCCAUGACGACUUUUGGUUAGUAAAUGAGUUUGCAUUUGGUACAAGCUGAUGUGACGAGUUAAUAGCUCUAGCAUUUUUAAUUUGUUGACCUGUUUGCUUGGAGGUCAGAUUUGGCUGUGGGGCCUUAUCAUUACCAAUGCCUAGCCAAAAGCCAAUCUCCUUGUUUUGUUUGAUAUGUAUAGUGUAUUUGUUUGUGAAUUUUUUUUUUGUGUGUAUGAAACAACUAUUGGCAAUGGAUCUCUUGGCUCACGCAUCGAUGAAGAACGCAGCUAAAUGCGAAACGUAAUGUGAAUUGCAGAGUUACGUGAAUCAUCGAAUCUUUGAACGCAUAUUGCACCCUCUGGUAUUCCGGAGGGUAUGCCUGUUUGAGAAUCAUUAUAUUUUUCACCCCGACAAGUCUUAAUAAGCUUGUUUGGCUUGGUGGUUAUUGGGCUUUCCCAUUAGGAAGUGAAAACCUAUGGUGUUGCCUUAAAUCCAAAGGGUUUACCGUCAAACUAUCAUUCUUUUUUUUUGAAGAUGAUUUUAUUGCAUGGUGUGAUUGAGGUUAACUUGGCCUCUUCCUUUUUUAAAGGUUCACUUGCAUGUAUUAAAGUUUGAAAUAAAUCCUCGGAGACUGAUGUUUAAAAGCCUAUGGGCACAUCAGCUGCUUGUAAUUCAUUGAUCUUGUUUGUGUGCUGUUUGCAUCAAACAUUAUUUUUGAGUAAGCAAGGAAAUGUUUUGGCUGUUAUAGCAUAAUGAUAUGAUCUCAAAUCAGGCAUGAGUACCCGCUGAACUUAAGCAUAUCAAUAAGCGGAGGAAAAGAAAAUAACUAUGAUUCCCCUAGUAACUGCGAGUGAAGCGGGAAGAGCCCAAAUUUGAAAUCUCAUGGCCUUGAGCUGUGCGAAUUGUAGUUUGUAGAAGUGCUUUCUGGGCUAGCCUGGGUUGAAGUCUGUUGAAAAGCAGCAUCAGAGAGGGUGAUAAUCCCGUUUCUGAUCCAGUGUCUAGUCCUUUGUGAGGUGCUUUCUAAGAGUCGGGUUGUUUGGGAUUGCAGCCCUAAUUGGGUGGUAAAUACCAUCUAAGGCUAAAUAUUUGCGUGAGACCGAUAGUGAAUAAGUACCGUGAGGGAAAGAUGAAAAGAACUUUGAAAAGAGAGUUAAAUAGUAUGUGAAAUUGCCAAUAGGGAAGCGUUUGGAAUCAGUCAUGCUUGCAGAGAUUUAGCUGCUUUGAAGUAGUGUUCUUCUCUGUUAUGCGGGUCAACAUCAAUUUUGGCUGUUGUAUAUGCAUGUUGGGAAUGUAGAGGUUCUCGGACCUUGUUUAUAGACCUUCAUGAUUGCUAUGGCUGGGAUUGAGGGUCGCGGUGCCAUUUUGAGUUGGUGUGCUGCCCGUUCUCCCACUCCUGUAUGGAAGCUUGCUGCCUAUAGGUUUGCGGUUGGACUGCCACAGUACAUUAUCUUCAUUUGUGCCUGGGAUGUUGACAUAAUGGUUUCAAACGGCCCGUCUUGAAACACGGACCAAGGAGUCUAACGUAUAUGCGAGUAUAUGGGUUGUAAGCCCUAAUGCGUAAUGAAAGUGAUAAGGUGGGAACUCUUUUUGAGUGCACCAUCGACCGGUCUCGAGCAAUUUAUUGCAAAGGAUCCGAGUUAGAGCAUAUAUGUUAGGACCCGAAAGAUGGUGAACUAUGCCUGAAUAGGGUGAAGCCAGAGGAAACUCUGGUGGAGGCCCGUAGCGAUUCUGACGUGCAAAUCGAUCGUUGAAUUUGGGUAUAGGGGCGAAAGACUAAUCGAACCAUCUGGUAGCUGGUUCCCUC